rnacentral:lncRNA from 1 species
UAAAAUGGAGUUAUCUCAGGAGAAGGAAUUACUUGUGUAUUUUUGCAGCUUAUGAACCUUAAGUGUGAAUGAAUUUGAUAUUCUGCCUUUAAUAUUAUGGCACUUAGUCUUGAAUUCUUAACAUGGCUUUGGCAACACCCCAAGUCCCAGUGCAAAGGGUAUUACACGUUUAUCUGUUCCGAUUUUAGGUUGAGCAACAAGACUGCUUUUGUUCAAAGAAUAACUAACAGAUGAGUAAUAAAGUCACUUACCCAAAACCAGAUUCCAUUGUCAAUAAGAGGAGAUUUGGAUUGUACAGUUUCAUCUGACAACUAUGUUGGAAUUCAACUUUUUAGCAGAAGUCAGAAAGCAACUGUUCUUUCAACCAAACUGUUUUUUUCUCAAGAAUACACCAGCAAUCUCUGAAGCAUUUUCAUUUGACCACUUUUUUUAGAAGGGGCUCGUAAGCUUGUGUUAUACUAAAGCUUAGCUCCUCAAGCAAACUGGUGUUUUCCCUUUUUGUUAUCAGUAGAGGACUUUCAUUGUUGCUUUUUUUCUUCAGUAGAGUUUUUGAAAUCUGCAGGGGCUUUUCUGUUUUUCUUUUGUUUUGCUCUUUUUUGCUUUUUUUUAAAGAAAGUUUUUAAAUGUUCAUUUAGUAAUGGAGUCAAAGUGGAACCAGGAAGGCAAUUCUUAAAAAAAAAAAAAUUGUCCAAAACUAAAAUUCCUGACCUUAAUGGAAAAUAAAAAAUUUUACCAUUAAAUCAUGAGACAAAUGCAGUUAGGAUAUAUCAGCUAUCAAAGUGCAGAAAUCAAGUCUCCAUGAGAAAUAAACCUUUGCUGCUGGAUUCUUUCACUAUGAUGGCAGAAAAUCAAGACUUGGAGGAGACUGUUAUAUAAAGUUUCUCUAACAUUCAUUACAUUUAUCUAAGGACUCUAUCAGAUACUUUCAGUGUGGUCUCUCCUAAGUUCAUUGAAAUUCAAAAUAAUUAAUUGAAGUAAAGCCCUGCAUUUGUGCAUGCGUUCUGAGCAAUUAAGUGGAGUGAAACACAUGUAUUGCUAAUCUUGCAUGCUGUGAUUAAGAUAGAAAUGAAGACGUCCAUCAAACGAGAUUACUUCUUCAUCAACAAGGCUCAGAAAUGUUUCUACAGCUGUUUAGAUCGUUUUAAUUGUAUCAGAGCCUCUCACAUCAUGGUUUAAGUGAGGCACUAUUUCCCCCCAUUAAAAAAGAGAAUAUGAAGAUAUGAGAGUAUACUAAUCCGCAUGUGAAAGAAAUCACAAUGCAUUUAAAGGUUUCUUUACCAAUAAAAU